CCGUGAAAGACACACCUCAGCAAGUGGAUCUCUGUGCUUUGAGGUGGCUGGGACUCCCACAGGAGGUGGCAAAGUGAUGGCGAACCAUGAAGACGAAAUUAGACAGCUGAGAUAUCUAGAAGCUGCUAAUUCUGAAGAAGAAUACAAUGAGGAGAAUGACAUACAGUCAGAAAGCUCCAGAGGGCAAGCAUUUUUCCCUGGACAUCCGCGAGGGAGAGGACACAGACGUGACAGUAGGGGAAGAAAUGGCCAUUUUUUCAGACAAAGAUUUUCAGCAAAUCAUCCUCUACUUCAUCUGACAAGACAAGUCAACCUAGAAAGUCUAACAAGGAGGAAUGGAAACCAAUCAGAAGAGAGACAGCUACAACAAGAAAGAAUCCAAUUGUUCUUCAGGAGUUUACAUGGCCUCUCCCAAUCUCAUGACCACCACAUUGGCAGAUCUCAUGGCCACGAUUCCAGAAGAUCAUGUAAUCGAUUCAGGAGAGCUCCUGUUCAGUCAGAGAGAUCUCAUGUCUACUCAGGUAGAACUAAUAACUAUACAGAUAGACCACACCAUGACCUCUCAGAUAGACCACACAAUCAACUCUCAGUGAGACCACAUCCUGACCUCUCAGGUAGACCACUUCAUGACUACUCAGGUAGACCACAUCAAAACCAUGCAGUUAGGCUUCAACAUGGCCACUCAGAUAGAUAUCAUCUUACCCAUACAGAGAGAGUUCUUCCUAACAACUCAGGGAUAGCUCAUCCUGGCCACACAGAGAGAGAUAAUCAAGUCCAAAGAGGGAGAGCUCAUGAUAACCAAUCAGGAUUAGCUCAUCACAACCAUGAUGGCAGAUCUCAUCAUGACCACUCAGGGAGAGUAACACGGCCAUGCAAGGAGAGCUCAUAACAACCAGUCAUGGAGAUCUGAUAACAACCAGUCAUGGAGAGAUCUUAACCAGUCAUGGAGAGGUCAGAACAACCAGUCACAGAGAGGUCAUGACAACCAGUCACGGAGAGGUCAUGACAACCAGUCACGUAGAGGUCAUGACAACCAGUCACAGAGAGGUCAUGACAACCAGUCACAGAGAGGUCAUAAUGAUCAGUCAUGGAGAGCUCAUAACAUCCGGUCACGGAGAGAUCGUUAUCACACCUCAUUGAGAUCUAGUAGCAUCCAGUCAUGGAUGCUUCAUGAAAGAGAAAGAUACCAUGGUCCAAGAGGAAGAAAUGGACCAAGGGAUGCAUCACCACCAGGAUCUGAGCCAGAAAUUGACAGAUCGUCUGCAAUAAGAGAAAGGACUGACUAUUUAUGGGUACAGGAACAUCGAAGAAAUGAGACAGUUGAACUGAAUGUAGCGCUAGAAGACGGCUACAGCAGUGCUGAAGAGAGUGAUGAAAGUUUUGACAGACUAACCUGUCGCUCCAUGCUAGAUACACUAUACUAAGGAAUCUUCGAGAAGCCAGGAUGAGCAAUAAUAGAAUGAGAAGACCUGAAGACUAAACUGCCUUUUCCUUCGGGCGUUGGCAGCUAGCUAAUUGCACUGAACCACACUUGAGAGCAUACGUACAUUCAUAUAAUGUUCGAGUUUGGACUGUUCUUGUUAAUGUACUUUCUUAGGAUUAAAUGUCAGGAUUCUGUUCAUACUAAGCUAUUUGAAGAAAAAGUGUUUAGUACUGUUUGCAUAAAAGAACAAGGAGAUGAGCAAGAUGAAUGCUGGUUUCAAUGGGGUUGUUUUAAGAAAUCAGCUAUUUUCAGAAUACAUGGGAUUUUUUUUUUCAAUGUUAGAGAAACUGUGUAAUUUACCAUAAUCCUUAAGCUCUGGAACCCAUACAAGUGAUAAGAAGGUUUUAUGCACAAAAGCAAUCCAUGUGAAUGACUUCAACUGUAUGAGUAUUACACUAGUAAGCUUUUUUUUUCUUUUCCAUUUUACUGUAACAUGAAAGGCAACUUAAUUUUUUCUUACUUUUGUCAGAAUUCUACAUGUAACUUUUUUAUUGUUGGAUUUGCAAACACAUGAAAUUCAAUAAAGAGUUGUGAACAUUGUUA
rnacentral:lncRNA from 1 species